CAAUGGGAGCGGCGGACGGGUGAGUAACGCGUGGGAAUUUUUCCUGGAGUACGGAACAACCGAGGGAAACUUCGGCUAAUACCGUAUGAUAUCGAGAGAUCAAAGAUUUAUCGCUCUGGGGUGAGCCCGCGUCAGAUUAGGUAGUUGGUGGGGUAACGGCCUACCAAGCCUGCGAUCUGUAGCUGGUCUGAGAGGACGAUCAGCCACACUGGGACUGAGACACGGCCCAGACUCCUACGGGAGGCAGCAGUGGGGAAUCUUGCGCAAUGGGCGAAAGCCUGACGCAGCCAUGCCGCGUGAGUGAAGAAGGUCUUAGGAUUGUAAAGCUCUUUCGCUCGUGACGAUGAUGACGGUAACGAGAGAAGAAGCCCCGGCUAACUUCGUGCCAGCAGCCGCGGUAAUACGAAGGGGGCUAGCGUUGUUCGGAAUUACUGGGCGUAAAGCGCGCGUAGGCGGUUUUGCAAGCCAGAGGUGAAAUGCCUGAGCUCAACUUAGGAAUUGCCUUUGGGACUGCGAGGCUUUGAGGACGGGAGAGGUGAGUGGAAUUCCCAGUGUAGAGGUGAAAUUCGUAGAUAUUGGGAAGAACACCGGUGGCGAAGGCGGCUCACUGGCCCGUUUCUGACGCUGCAGCGCGAAAGCGUGGGGAUCAAACAGGAUUAGAUACCCUGGUAGUCCACGCUGUAAACGAUGAGUGCUAGGCGUCGGCAAGCUUGCUUGUCGGUGCCGCAGCUAACGCGUGAAGCACUCCGCCUGGGGAGUACGGUCGCAAGAUUAAAACUCAAAGGAAUUGACGGGGG
rnacentral:rRNA from 1 species